rnacentral:tmRNA from 1 species
GGGGAUGAUCGGUUUCGACAUCACCUGCGAAUCUGCGAGAAGCGGGCCGAGGAUGCAGGGUUAUCUCGUUAACGAUCUCUGCAAAACAAUAAGUGCCAAUGCUAAGCGCACUGAGUUCGCCCUCGCUGCAUAAGCGAGCCUGAACUCCGUCGGACCGUAGGUGUUCCCGCUACGGAUUCCGGCGUCAUCUAGGGGACUUGCUGCGUGACGGCGUCUGGACGUCACGCGGGACUCUUCCCAGACUGGGCUUGUCGACUUGGAUGCCUGUGGCAAAUGUCGGAGCCGAGCAGAACGCUUUCACAGGCUGCGCCCGGAGAAAACGCAGAGACCCAGUGAUGGACGGGGGUUCGAUUCCCCCCAUCUCCAC